CAGGUAGACAGUUUUAUAAUAUUCAAAGAAGAGUGGGAAAGGGCAGAAACACAAGCAGAGGAAAACAAGAGGAAGAAGUGCUAUCAAGGUUGAGAAUUGGACACACAGGGCUAAAUAGCACACUAGUAAUAACUAAGAAAUAUGAAAAUGGGAAAUGUGAUUACUGCAAUAAUCCGGAAACAGUAGAACAUGAAACAAGAUUAAUAAACAGGAUAUAGGAAAACAGAGUAAAACUCUACAAACUACUGGUUCCAUACUUCAGUCUAGAUGGUGGCGGUAAUGCACCAAAAAGCUAAAAAAAAACUAAAAGAAGAAGAAGAAGAAAAAAAGAAGACAACCAGCUCAGUUCAAACAAGAAGAAGAAGCAGAAGCAGAAGCAGCAACACGUUUGUACUGAAGUGAAUCUAAACUGCUACUCCGCUAACUGUUAGCAUCACACGAUUCAGUAUUAACGAACCGAUUCAUCUGAACCGAUUCAGCUCAGUGAUUCGACUGAU